GGAACUGCUACCUUCAUCAGACUGAGUUCCAAUGAUGAAGGCAAACUUGCGGUCUUUGGAUUUAUGAACAGAGAUUCUGCUGCAUCAAUCCGAAGUGUCUCAUCAAUAUGGGUAAGUGCCAAAACCAGAUAUUUCUCUGGGACUUUUAUUUCAAUCCCCUUGAUGCAGACAGUAGCAUCUUUUUUUUCCAAGUUCUGCUUCAC
rnacentral:misc_RNA from 1 species